rnacentral:lncRNA from 1 species
UCCCUCCGCCCGCUCCGAGGGUCCGCGGAAAGUAGUCCCGCGCGCCCUCUGCCCUGACGCGGUGUGUGCCAGCUACCCGAGUGAAAGGUUUUCGGGGGAUUAAUCCUGAUGGGGUCUGCGGCGGCCCUUGCCCAGCGCCUUCCACAUGUGGAGCGGGCCAGUGGUGCUAGUUCUGCCGCCAACUCUGGACGGUUGAGUUCAGGGCCACUUUUUACUCAGGCACGGAUGUGACAGAAAGAUGGAAAAGGGUCUUGGAAGAACCACAUGUGCCGUAUAACGAACGACCUUUUGGUCUGAGGAGGACCGUGUAUAUGACGGUGGUCCCAUAACAUGAUAACGGAGCUGGAAACUUCCUGUCCUCUGGUGAGGGCUUAGCUAAGGACAUUUCCUCUCCUGUAUUUGGAGAUACACGUACAGGUGGAUCUGAAGCAGUGCUGCCUUAGUCUCCUUGGACUCUCAGCUCCAUUUCCUCAGCUCAAGUAGUCCACUGGGCUCUACCUCAGUUCUGCCUCCUCUUGCUGUGGCCUAGAAAUUCUCUCUGGAUAUCAGAAAACAAAGGACAGUAAUCCCUGCCAAGAUGGGAUACAAACAAGACCCUGUGGACACAGAGUGACAGCUGAGUGCAAGUGUCAGUGAAGAGACCUAGAUUGUGGGGACUUUCCUGGCCUGGCAGAGAACCUUGUGUCUGCUCACGGGAGAAGGAAAGAACAAUUCCUCUGCAGAACUCCCAUUAUGGAUUCAUGGGUAUACUUGGAUGGUGUCUGAUGGAGCCUCGAUCUGUCGCCCAGGCUGGAGUGCAGU